UACCCCCAAGACAACGAAAUCCUACCC
rnacentral:piRNA from 1 species